AGCUGAUAUACCCUUGGCAGAGCCUUUGAAAACUCAAAGUCAGCUUUGCACUGCAGUGAGGUAUCAGAGCAAGACUGCAGAGAGAGGAAUCUUCCUGUAGUUUUGUGUAAGUCAACAGAAGGUGAAGAUAUAUCUGAAUGGGGCAGGAGCUUUUCAAGCAGCUUUCCUUGAGAAGAGAGCAUUAAACAGGAAAGAAACUUUCACAAUGGCUUGCCAAUUGGAAAAUCAAAAGUGAGAAGAAAGGGGAAAAACAAGAUUAGCUGGACAAAAAGAGGAAAGAAAUAAGGAACUUGGAAAUUCAUUCCAGAGCCUGUCAUGGAGGUAGGAACUCUGGGAUGAUCCUACUCACGAUCAGCUCUUGAGCACUGCUUCUUCUUAUGUUCCAUGUUUGGGUGCCAUAUGUUGUGAUAUGGGAGCUACCUGCCAGUGGUAGCUGGAAGUCUAACUCAGACCUGUACAAUGGAUCUCUUCAUGUGAGAGGAUGAUGACAAUGACAUAAGGAAAUUGAGAGGCAGUUGCUGUUCUCUGGUGUAUCUUCAAGAAUAAGACUCAAGAAUAAAGCCUACAGACUUCAGACGACUGCAGACUCCAUCCUUGACCAGACUUAUGGUGGCUCUUCAUCUUCCUCACUUCUCCAUUUGACAACAAAGCCCAUCCACAGAUCCUCCAGAAAGCUAACCCGGACUUGACAUUUUUGGUGUCCAAAUGUGUGGCACUAGACUUGGGGCCCUAGAUGCGAGGCUCUGGCCAUAACACUUACACUCAGGAGUUUGACUGAAGCAAUCAUAAACUCAAUGGAGAAGACCCUGUGAUCCCAAAAUAGGGUGAAUACAAAAACAGACAAGUGGGAAACUUUGUUAAGGGCUAAACUAGUCACUUUUGUUCUUCAGCUGAAAUGGGCAAAUAUUAAGAAAAGAGGAUUCCCCCACCCUGAGGGCAGUGUGUAGCAUGCAUAGUUAGAUUAAUAAAGAAGCAAGAUUCAUUGAUGACUUGGAAGCAGAUAACUGGACUCUUAAAUAUAUUAAAGUGCACAUCUCCUUGGCUCUCUAAGGAAGAAAAAUAGAGCUAGAUAUGUGGAAACUAGUGGGAGAGCAACUAAUUGAAUAUUAUGAAGCUAAAGUUCCUGAUUCAAUUCCUGAGGAAACAUUCCUUAUAUACAGUAUAAUACAAUUGACUUUAAAGGACCCCACAAGUUCUAAAAAAAAAGGAAAAAUUUCAAUGUAGAUACCUAGACAAAAAAGAGUGAGGAGAAAGAGCAGGAAGGGGAUGGUACUGACAAAGCAGCUGAAACUCAUGGAGAAUUGAACAAGAAAGGAGUUAAGGAUAGUGCUGAUAAACUUAAGGGAUAUGGUGCUUCUUACUUUCACAACUCAGUUUCACUUCUGCCUACCCCUGAGCAGACACCUUAGGGCAUUCCCCAUCUCCUGACUAUCCUCUCCCAACUUCACUUUAGUGAAUAGAGGUAUGAGGAGGAGUGGAAGGGGCAGUGACACCAUCAACAUUACCCGUGCAGCAGCUUUAUCAACCUCUUAUGACACAAUUACAAAAGACAUUAGCUAAAGCUAAAGAGGAAGGACAGGAUACAUCUGAUCUGAGAAGAGAAACGUACCCUGUGAUUGAAGAGUUUCACUCUUCAGGUCAAGAAAAAAGAGGAUAUACUCCUUUUAAUCUGGAAAUUAUCAAAGAUCUGAAAAAGGCUUGUAUUAGAGAAUUUGGUUUAUAAAAUUUUAACCCCUAAUAAUUGUAAAUCUAUUGCAAGCAAAUGUUUAGAACCUGGAUAAAAUUUGUUGUGGCUUUCAGAGUAUAGUGAACUUUGUGGAAUACAACCACAAAGAUAUAGGCAAACUGAAGUAAAAUACCAGUCAUCUCUGAUCAACUAACAGGUGUAGGUCUUUAUGCAGAUGCUUUAGCACAGAUUAAUUACCCUAUAGCAGCAUAUGAGCAAAUUGCUGCUGCUGCUAUCAAAGCAUGGGGCAUCCUCCCAGGAAGAUAAGAUAGAGAGGGAACCUUCACAGAAACAGCACAAGUCCAAAUGAACCCUUUGCUGAUUUCAUGGGAUGUCUGCAGACAGCCAUCAUACAAAUUAUUGAUUAAAAUGUAGCAACAAAAAUUAUGAUAAGACAACUUGCCAGAGAAAAUACUAAUGAGGAUUGUAGAAGAAUUAUACUAGGACUACAAAAGGAUGCUCCUUUAGAUGAGAUCAUAAGAUGCUGCCACAGUGGGCAACAAUACCUUUUAUAUUUAAGUUAUGAUGCAGAUUUCUCAAGAUCUGAACAUGGGAAGACAGGAUCCCUUUUAGUAAGGGAGUUCAGAGAGACUCAUCAAUGCUUUCAAUGUAAUAAAGUAGAGCACCUGAAGCUUAAUGUUGGCAUAAAAAACAGGGUAGGGGAACAAGACCCAAAACCCUAUGUCCAAAAUGCAACAGCGGCUUCCAUUGGGCAUCAGAAUGUAGAUUGACUAAGGAAAUUGGAAGCAGGACUUGGCUCCAGGGCCCAAGGCAAAAAUACUUGGAGAAUGCCAAUGUUAUACCCAGAGAGACUCUAGAAGUUUAGUACUCCAACAUGAUCAAUCAGCCAAGAAGCAACCUGAUGGGAGAAAGGGAUUACAGUUGGGGAAAACAGAGCUGUAUGCAGCAGGGACUACUGAGACUCCUGGAGAGGCGAAAUCUUCCUCAGUCUGGCCUAUGGAUCCUUUGCCUCCAGGCACAGUACCCUUGACCAUUUCACCUCCUGAGAGUGCUUACAAAAUGCAUACACUGACUUGGGAAACUGGGGAAUAUGUAUACAAUAUUCUAGUGACUAAUACAGGUAGACAAUGUGCGACUUAUCAACAGGAGAAAUAGUAACAUCAGGUUUACUGAUACACACUCCUAAUAGGCAAUCUGGGGAUAGUUGCCCAAAUUUUGACUCCCAGCAACAGAAUCUGGGAAUAUUCUGGACUGCAGCAGUUACAACUGACCAAGCUAUGCUCACUAGCUAUGUAAAUGGCAUACCAUUGAAAGGGUUGGUAGACACAGGUACAGUCAUUAGAAGUGCCAGUUGACCCAAUCAUUGGCCAAAGAUUAAGGCAGACACCUAUAUGUCUGGCAUAGGAGAAUCAAUAGCAGCUAAAGUUAGUUCUGCCCUUUUGAGAUGGAUAUUGGAAGGUGAAACAGAGUUUUUCUUCUUUUGUAGUCAAAAAAAAUCCCCAUCAAUCUAUGGGGAAGAGACAUCUUAAAACAGUUCGGAUUACAAUUGAGUACUUUGGCUUUUUAGACAGGGCUACUGUUGAAGGCCUGACUACACUCUCACCUGUUCCCAUUCAAUGGAAAACUGAUACACCAGUGUGGGUAGAACAGUAGCCCUUGACAUGUGAAAAAAUCCAGGCCUUAUUAGAUUUAGUACAGGGGCAACUUGAUCAAGGACACUUACAACCUUCUCUAAGUCCUUGGAAUUCCUCUUUAUUUGUUGUUAAAAAGAAAUCUGGAAAAUGGAGGAUGCUGACUCAUUUAAGAAAAGUAAAUGAACAGAUGGAAACUAUGGGAACUCUUCUGCCUGGACUUCCAUCUUCUACUCAAUUGUCUGGAGAAUUGCUUCUUUGGAUUAUAGACAUUAAGGGUUGUUUGUUUCUAUCCUAUCCCUCUAGAUAAGGAGGAUAUGAAAAAAAUUGCCUUUUCAGUUCCCAGUGUUAAUUUAUCUGAGCCUUAUAAAAGAUAUGAAAGGACAGGUUUGCCAAGAGAAUGAAAAACAGCCCUACUAUUUGUCAAAUGUAUAAUGCUACUGCUCUUACUCCAGUAAGAAAAGUAUUUCCAAAAGUAAUGUUAUUACAUUACAUGGAUGAUUAUAUAUGUGGUAGACACAGGUGCUUGGCACAAAGUGAGUUCUUAAUGAAUGCAUAUUGAUUAAUGAUUGAAUUUUAGACAUUGAAGGGUUAAAUGUUCUGUUCUCUAAAAUAUAAUAUGCUCUGGGAGCAGGUUUCUUGGGGAGCUUCUGGAGGCAGCCUUAGUUUCAGUUCUGAGUAAUAAUCACCUCAAAUGCAGCCAGGAAUUAAAAGUCCAGAGUACUUUAUUAUCUCCUUCAAAAUAGCCCAGUUAGUUUUCUUAGAGGCCUCUCUCUCUCCUUUGUUCCCAGAGCUCUUACCACUAGUCCUUUGUCUCUUGCAGCUUCAGCCUCUAGCUCCCUCUGAAUCCAAAGCCUCCAGCCAGCACAAAGGUGAAAAAUGGAAUGAAUCUGUCUUGACUCUGAGAGUGGUCUCCUCCUCUGGUGGGCUUGUCCUUCUGACUUGUGAAUCUCCCAACUCAAUUCUCCCUCUGAAUCUCCCAGAGCUUCCAGUGGACUUGUCUUUUUUUAUGCUCUUUUAGAAGUGUGAACUCUUAAAGGUAUUAAAAGUGUGAAGUCUUGCAGAACUCUAACAAGUACUAAGUACAUUAGUGAACCAGAGAACUGCUAAGCACUAUGCUAAAAUUAGACAACUGACUUAGCACCUUGUAAGAAUUCUAACAGAAGGGACCUUGGAAACCAUCUAGUUAAACAAAUGCCAAAAUGUAAUCUCUACUUUGAUACCUUAAAAUAUGGUCAAGCCAUUUAUGUUUGGUGACCUCCAAAAGUAAGAAACUUACAUUCUGUUGAUGACACCCAUUCCAUUUUUGAAUUGCUUUACUCAUUAGUGAUUUUUUUAUCCUGACAUAAAAUGCAAAUAUUAGACUGUUUCUAGUUUUUUUUUUCAUUUGGACUCAAGCAGAAAGAGUCUAAUGCUCCUGUCUUCUCACAUAACUACUCAAUAUAGUUGAAGAUAGAGUUCCCUCUAAGUCUUCUUUAGAAUAAAGAUUCUAUUUUAAAAACAUUUCUCCAAUUUAAAAUAUAUUGUUUGAAUCUUCCACAUCUUGACAAAAAUAGUAGAGUUUUUUAAAGUUAGAAUGCAAUGAUUUCCACACCACCAGUCAGUAGAAUGUUAUGUGAAGUUUUGAUGUUGUUUGAAAUUUCCCUAGAGAGAUAGAUCUAGACAUAAUUGUGAGGGAGACCAUAUACCUUCAGCUCUUCACUCUUUUGUGCCUUUUCUUUCAUCUCUCUACCACACAGGGGAAAAAAAGAAAAGAAAAAAAAAAACUUAUGCAAUGAAUAUGCACAGACAAGCAAAAUAAAUUCUACCAUUGUCCUGUGUAAAAAUUCAUGAUUCAUUCAGUAUAUAUUGUCAAUCACUUCUCUGUUAGGAGGAAAGCAGAAUUCUAAAUGAUUGGUGCUCUGUAAUCAUCAUUGAUCAUUGCUUUGAACAGACUUUUAAAAUCUUUCCAAAUUGUUCAUUUUUUACAAUGCUGUUGUUAUGGUAUAAAUUGUUCCUAGAUCUUUUCUCUUCUCUCUGAAUCAUUUUGAAAAGAGAUACAAAUGAUACCCACUCCACUCAUCCUUUCUUUGUUUAUAUAGGCUUUUACUUGUAUCCUCUGAUUACUGUAAGAUAACUUCUCUUACUUGACUCUCCCUAUGACUUCACUAUCAGAAUUUUUCUGGGAUUUCAGUAGGGACUUGAAAGAAGCUAAGGGAGGUUAAGAGAAAGUAAUGAGAGUGGAGAGAAGUCUAGAUAUGGAGGCAGCUGGUAAAAAUGAUUUGAAUCAGGAGAUAAAAAGUUUUAUGCAUGGAAUGAUAAGGAGGGCAGUGUCAUACAAUUGGAGAGUACAUGGGAUGAAUAAGUUGUAAAAAGAUUGGAAAGGUGUAAAGGGAACAAGUUAUAAAAUGUUUUAAAUGCUAAAUAGAAGAUUUUUCUCACUGGGCCAACUUGGGCAGAUUGCUUAAUACUUGUCUUAUUUUUUUCAUCUGUAAAAUGGGGAUAAUAACAACUCCAAGGUUGUGAUGAAAUACAAAUAAGAAAAAUAUAAAUCACUUAGCAUAAUGCUUAGCAUUUGGUGAGUGCUACAUAAGUGUUAGCUAUUAUUAUUAUUAUAUUACAUUCUGGUUUUUUGGAUAAAUUAUUCUUGGCUAGAGGCCUUUAUCUUUUGUCUUUUGGAAUAUUUUGUUCUAUUCUCAGCUGCUUUAUGGAGGUUGCUGCUAAAUCUUGGGUGAUACUAUGAGUUUCAGUAAGGAAACAUUUUCUUUAGAGCUGAAGCCAUUUUUUUUUUAAACCUGGAAACUCUGGAUUUUGGCUAUGAUGUUGCUUGGGGUAUUUAUUUUGGAGUUUUAGUUAAUGAAUUCUUUUAAUUUUCAUUUUUACCUCUGUUUGUAAGUGAUCUGAGAAAUUUUCUUUCAAGAAAUCUAACCUCAGCCAGGGUCUAAGUCCACAUGCUCAGCCCUUUUUGAAGACCUUAUUGUGCUUGCUGCUCUUGACAUCACAAUACUUUCAGCCUUGCUUGGGAUUCUUGGUGGAUUUCACAUUCUCACUCCCUCUGGGAGACUUCUUGCUAUUUGCCUGAGGGCUAAAUAGAAGAUCACUGAACUGCUUACCUACUUUGGAAAUCUGGAAUCUUAGUCCAUGAUCCUAGCCUAUCACAAUGUAAUUAUCGGCCCUCAUAAAUUGUCUGUGUAUAUAUAUACAUAUAUAUAUAUAUAUAUGUAUAUAUACACAAAAUUAUUAUAAUAAAUACAUAUAAAAAUUAUACAAUUUUUGAUCCCCAUUACUACUUUGUCAAGUAUUCUUCAUAAAUAUUUUUUAUAACUGUUGUUUCAAUGAACUGGGUUCUAUUGCUUUUUCCUGUUCUGCCAUCUUGAGUGCUCAUACACUCUUUUUAGCUUCUUCAUUUCCCUUUUUAAUAUUCCUUUGUCUCCAGGUAUGAAGGCUUUCUAUACUUAGCUGUAUCCCUUAUCCCUCAUUGUAUGAUCUCCCAUAACUAAGUCUGUCAUCAACAAAGAUUUAUUAAGCACCUACCAUGUGCCAAAUACUUUUAUUAACCAUUAGGUAUACAAAGAAAAUCAAAAAGUUGUUCCUGCUUUCAAGAAAUUUACAGUCUAAUAGGGGAGACAACAUGAAAGAUACUAUGUACAAACAAAUAAAUUGGAGAUAAUGAAUAGAGGGAUGCCUGUCAUCAAGGGGAUUAGAAAAGUCUUUUUUAUAGAAGGUGGAACUUGAAAGAAGCCAAGGAGAGAGCAACAAAGAUGGAGAAAAUUCCAGGAAUGGAGACAGCUGGUAAAAAUGCCUUGAAUCAGGAGAUAAAAUGUAUUAUGCAGAGAAUGGUAAGGAGGUCAGUGUUACUCUUUCCAGAAUACAUAGGGGUAAGCAAGUUAUAAGAAGAUAGGAAAGGUAGGAAGGGAGCAAGUUAUGAUAUGUUUUCAUUUUCAUUGCUAAAUAAUGAAGUUUUUAUUAUACUCUGGAGGUAAGGACAUACUAUAGUUUUUUGAAUGGAAAUGGGAAGUAUUGUGCUCAGACCAGGCAUUUAGGAAGAAAGACCUGGAUAAAAGAAAAUUAACACAGGGAGACAGGCUUUUCUUUCCUUUUUUUCUUUCUUUUUAUGCAACACUAUUGCAAAAUACUAUAAACAUGAAAUGAUGAGGGUCUGUACCUGAGGGAUAGGUGUGUGAAGGAAGUGAAGUAGACAUAUAUGAGAUACAUAAUGAAGAAGAUAGAAACCAAAGCAUUUGGUAAUAUGUCAUAUGGUAAAAGAGAAAAUGUUAUGAAUAAAAUCUGGAUUGCCAGCCUGGUUGUCUAAGAUGAGGGUGGUUUCUUCAACAAUAAUAGGAAAAGCAGAGGGGAGAACUUGGGAAAGAUAAAUUUAGUUUUGGAUAUGUUGAAUUUAAGAUGUCUAUGGGAUAUCCAUUUCAAGAUGUCUAAAAAACAAGUGGAAAUAUGAGACUAAAGUUCAUCACAAAGGUUUUGUACUGAUUUUCAGCAUCAGAACCACAAUUGCUGAUUAUGAUUCUAGUGAAAACUGAGGGUCUUUUCUGCCUCAUGUAAUGCCAGAAAAAAUUGGUUAAAACCUGUGUUUAGUAGAAACUAUCUCACUGAGAAUCAUUGACUCUUAGGCCAAUCUUCACAUUGACCAUAUUAAGACCAUUAAAGCAUGAGCUGGUCAUAAAGAAUGACAACCUAAAAUUCUUAAAAGACAGUUUUUCAGUCAUACGGUAUUUGUAUUAUUCCCCUAGGCUUGUCAUUGUGAGGAUAAAUGAUAAAAGUGCUAAAAAUUUAUCUCUCAACAAACUGAAUACUCCCCUAUUUCCAACAAACCACUAAUGUGUAUUUUUUGCUUUGGUGAUCUCCAACAGCUAUCGCUCUUUUUUCCUUCCUUUCUCAUUGUUUCUUUCCCACAUAAAAUAAAAUGAAUUACUGCAGUUUUGCCAUGAGUCCAAAGAAACAAUAACUCCCUUUCCUUCAAGAAAUCUAGAGGAAAUAAGUCCAUUAUUUUUAUUAUUAUUAUUUGUUUUUAUAUGAUUUGUCCUUGCUAUAUAUCCUAUUCAACAAUCACAGAAUAUUACUGGGGGAGAAACCGUCAAGUCAUCCAGUGUAAGAAAGGUUUUUAAUAAACUUUCAUUUGUUGAUUUUGACAACUCCCAUACCAUAUUUUCCUUUAUGUCUAAUUCCAUUUAGAAAUGUGCUGGGAUACUGUUGUUGUUAUUGGGGGGAUGGGGGGGUGGAUUGGAUUAUUAGCUGAAUCCCAAAUAUCUUAUAAAGACAGACAAAAAAAUUUACAUAAUAAUUGAGUCCAAAAGCUACAACUUACAAACAUUAAUGAUAUUUUGUUCUUAGUGGGAAGUGAGGACAUAAUAUAGUUAAUAUCGGAGGCUAUUAUCUUUCUUUUAUAGAUAGGGAAACUGAGGUUGAAAGAGGACUUGGAAUCCUGUCAUAUAACUAUGAAAUACCUGGGACAAGAAUCAUACUCAUCUCUUCCUGACUCCCAGGAAAAUACUGGAGAACUAAUCAGCCUUUAGUGACAAUUGUUAUUCUCCCAUUAAUUAACUGAAUAAUUUUGAAAAAGUCAUUCUUACUUUUGGAUUAUCAGUUUCUUAUUUGUUAAAUAAGGGAAACUGACUAAAUUUUAUCUCCAACAUUCCUCAAUCUCAAAAGUUCUAGGAUUCCAUGAAGGUCUGUAACUAUUCAUACAUGUCAGUGCCUUGGUGCCUACAUGGAAUAUUUACUACUUGAAACAUUUAUAUUAAUUCCUCUGCUCACAAAGGUCAUUCCCACAGGAUGACUGGCAGAUGACUGAAUUAUAGAGUAUGUCCCUGACAUAUCACUUCAGCUCAGCUAUACUGCUGGAAGGAAAUGAAUCCAGGGCUAUUUAAGUGAAAUCACCCCAUACUCAAGUGGAUGAAGAACAAUUUGACAUUUAUCUUGCUUCCUCUCUCCCUAACCCCAUCUUCCCCUUUUUUUGCCCUUGGUUGAUAUUCUCAGAGUCUUAUACAUUUUUGUGUUUCCUUGGUACAUUUUGCAAGGUAAAUACAAGUAAACUCCACUUUCUAAUGUAUUCUCAGUAACUAGCUAUAUCUUUGACACUAACCAUCUCAGCCAAAAAUGAUCAUUUCUUCAUUUCCUCCUUUGAAUCUCUUUAGUAAUUCUGCCUGCAUGUACUGUGAUGGACACUAGAUAUUUUUAACUCACUAUUUUAUAUUAUUAGUAAGUUUUCACCUAUAUAUGUUCUAACUAUAUUGUUCUUGACGUAAAUGCCUGCCUCUAUCUCCACCUCACCUGGCAUCUAGGACUGUGCCCUAUAUAAUACAUGCUCAGUAAAAAUGAGUGAUUAAAAUGAUUUUCAGAAAUUCAGAAGAAUACUGCAGAAAGAAAGGCCUCUCUUGUUCCAGGCAUUGUCCUAAACCAAUUAGAUUUUCUUAAUAAUAAUAGCUGACGUUCAAGUUUGCAGAGCACUUUAUAUGAAUUAUUUCCCUUUAAGGUGGACAUUACAGUGCUUAAAGGCACAAUUCUUGGCACAUAGUAAGCAUUCAUUACAUGGUUUAUCUAUCUGCUACAAGCCAUAUUUACAUUUUAUAGAUGAAGGAAACUGAGAAUCAGACAGUUUAACAAGUUUUGCACAAUUUCACAGCUCAUGUUAGUGAUAGGAUUUGAACCUAACUUUUCUAGGAAAACCUUUAACCACUAAACCAUGUUGCCUGUCUAAAAGAAAAAAAAAAAGGAACAAGUAUUUAUUAAGGCUUAUUAUAAGCUAGGCACAGUGCUUCUUUUUAAAAAUCAUCUCAUUUAAGACACAAUAAUCUCAGGCUAUGUAGUGGCUGUUAUUAUCCCAAUUCUAUGGUUAAGAAAAUUGAGGCACAUAGAUAUUAAGCUUUAUUUGCAUACAUAUGUAUGUAUAAUUGUACAUAUAUAUAUAUAUAUGUUGCAUAUAUGUGUACAUAUUUUAUAUAUAUAUGUGUGUGUGUGUGUGUAUAAAACAUGUGUCUAUGUUAGAGAAAAAGUUCUGAUUUGUUAGGUGCAGCUGAAAGAGAUGGGAAUAACUUCAUCCAGGGUCAUUUGAAAUUGUUCUUUCCCCCCAAAUUUAGAACAAGCACAUUAAAAGCCAUUUGUGCAAUUACUAUAUUUACUCCUGUAAUUCUCCCUUUUCAUUACUUCCUGGUAGGCUGCUAUGGCUAAACAGUGGGGCGCACCUUUUAAAGCAAGCCUUUAAAAGCUUGUCCAGGUGAAGAGGUGUGAACAGUGGUGGGCCACAAUUGAGUCUACCUCCUGCAAACAAUUUUUAAACAAACACAGUUGACACCUCACCCUCUUCUCUGGCUAAAUUUUCAGAGGUUCAGGAUGACUGAUUUUCUCAAGAAAAGGAAAAAAAGAAAAGCCUUGUAAGUAUUUGUAAAAUGACUGAGAAAACUGGGGGAAAGAAUAUGGGAGUAAUUAUGGCAGAUUCUUGAAGAGACAACUGAAUAUGUCUUAAAUGUUGCUUUUUGUUCUGUCAUAAAAAAAUCUAGAAUCUCCCUAUGAUUGAAUGAUUUUUAUGGAUUUCAAUACAAUGUAGUAUAUAGGGAAGAAUACUGCAAUUGGGGUGAGGGUAUCUGACUUCAUAGGAUCACAGUUUCAUAGAUUUAUAGCUUGAUGGAACCUUAGUGACCAUGAUAUUUAACUCUUAUUUUACAGAUAAGCAAACUGACAUUGGGAUAGGGUAAACAACUCAUUCAGGAUUCAUAGUUAAUAGGUUUCUGAGCCAGAAUUGGAACUCAAUUCUUCCUGAUUCCAAGCUCCAUACUCUCUCCCCUGUAUGGACCACUUAGAGGCCUAAUUUAGGCUAUGCUCCUUUUUCUCUUUUUUUGGGGGGGGGUGGGGAGGAACAAGUAGGUGGACCAGUGUAUAGAGUGCCAAUCCCAGAGUUAGGAGACAAGAGGCAAUGAGUUCAAAUUUGAACUCAUUUAUUAAAUGUGAGAUCUUGGGCAAAUCACUUAACUGAAUUUGCCUCAAUUCUUCAUCUAUAAAAUGAUGGAGAAGAAAAGGGAAAAUUGUUCUGGUAUCUUUGCCAAGAAAACCACAAAUAGGGGCAUGGAGAAUCAGCAACAAUUAAAAUGAAUCAACAACAACAAAAGAGUUUCUGUGUGUGUUAGCUGUGAAGCACUUAUUCACCUUCCUCUCAAGGAGAAUAAACAGAAAAGCAAACACUUGUAUCAAAUCAUCUCAGUGAAGCAUGACAGAUUUCCAUAUUGUUCAGGUCAAAAAUAUAUAUGUCAUUCUGCAUAUCCAUCCUUCACUGCUCUGACAGGAAGUGGUGCCCUAUCAUCUUCCAUACAUGUGGCACUGAGCCAGUAUUUUAACUGAGUCUCAAUUUUCUCAUCUAUAAGCCACUGGCUUCAGUAAAUGGAUUGUUAGGUCCCUUCCAUUUCAUUCUGUGAUCCCUUAAAGUUAUCAGAGUGUGUAUUCCUUUCAAUAGUUACCUCCAAGAUCAGAACCCAUCCAUGCUUUUAAAUUCCAUGUAAAUUUGAUAAAGUCCACUUGUAUAUCGUUCACAAGUCCUUCACCCAAGGGGGUGGGGGUCUUUGUGCUCCCCACACAAUAUCAUAUUGGUGUUCUUAGCAUAAAGACUAGCCACUUGAAGUCCCCCAACCCGAUAAUAAAUGCUAAAUCCCCAAGAAAAGUAUAACAAAACAGUGCCAAUAUAUCAAAAUAUAAAUGACAUAAAACUGCCAGAAACUUCUGAUAACAAUGAUAACAGAGAUACCUGAUUAACAGAGAUUGGAUCCAAAGUGAAAGUUAGAGUAUUGGAUUGAAUCAAAUCAGAUGAAAUUCAGCAAAAUAUACAUAUAAUCCUAAAUCUGAGUAUGGAAAAAAAUGACUUUAUAAGGUUGAGGAGUGAUAGAAAAGGCAGAAGUUUGAUUUUUUUCUUUCCUCAAUAGUAUUUCUUUUCCCUAAAUACAUGUAAAGAUAGUUUUCAACAUUUAUUUUAUAUAUUUAUUUACAGUUUAUUUACAAAACAUAUGCAUGGGUAAUUUUUCAGCAUUUACCCUUGCAAAAGCUUCUGUUCCAACUUUUCCCCUUCUUCCUCCCACCCCCUCCCCUAGAUGGCACGUAGUCCAAUACAUGUUAAAUAUGUUAAAGUAUAUUCAACAUUCAUUUUGAUAAGACUUUUGUGAAUUUUCCACAUUUCCUCCCUUAUCUCCCUCCUCCCCAAGAUAGCAAGCAUUUUGAUAUGUUAUACAUGUUCAAUAAUUUUAAACAUUUCCAUAUUUGUCAUGUUGUGCAAGAAAAGUCAGAUCAAAGGGGAAAAAUAUGAGAAGGAAAAAACAAGCAAAUAAAAAGGUGAAAAAAUACUAAACUUUGAUUCACACUCAGUCUCUAUAGUUCUCUCUCUGAGUUUUCAUUUUUCAUCCAAAGUCUAUUGGAAUUUUGGAAUACUGCAUUGCUGAGACGUGCAAAAUCCAUCACAGUUGAUAAUCACAUACUCUUGAUGAUACUGUAUACAACAUUCUCCAUGUUCUUUUCUCUUCACUCAGCAUCAGUUCAUGUAAGUCUUUCCCAGAUAUUUUUGAAAUCAUCAUUACUUAUAGAACAAUAAUAUUCCAUUACAUUCAUAUACCAAAACUUAAUCAGCCAUUUCCCAACUGACAAAUAUCCAUUCAAUUUCCAAUUCUUUACCACUACAAAAACAAAAAGCUGCCACAAACAUUUUACACAUGUAGGUCCUUUUCCCUCUUUUAUAGUGUCCUUGGGAUUUAGACCCAAUAAUGACACUACUGGAUCAAAGGGUAUGUACAAUUUUAUAGCCCUUUGAGCACAAUUCCAAAUUGCUCUCUGGAGUUAUUGGAUCAUUAUACAACUCUAUCAAAAAUGCAUUUUUCCUACUGAUAAAUAAUCAGUUUUCCUACACCUCCUCCAACACUUCUUAUCAUUAUCUUUUCCUGUUUUCUUAGCCAAUAUAAGAGGUGUAUACUGGUACCUCAGAGUUGUCUUAAUUUGCAUUUCCCUGAUCAAUAGUCUUUUAGACCAUUUUUCAUAUAAAUAUAAAUGACCUUAAUUUCUUCAUCUGAAAAUUAUCUGUUCAUAUCCAUUGACCAUUUAUCAAUUAGGAUAUAACUUGUAUUCUUAUAAAGCUGAUUCACUUGUCUAUAUGUUUUAGAAAUAAGCCUUUAUUAGAAACACUGGCUGUAAAAUAUUAUCUACCAACUUUCUGCUUUCCUUCUUUUUCAUUUUUUUAUUAUUAUAACUUUAUAUUGACAGAACAUAUUUAUGGGUAAUUUUUUACAACAUUACCCCUUGCACUCAUUUCUGUUGUGACUUGUCCCUUCCCUCCUUCCAUUCCCUCCCCAGAUGGUAGGCAGUCUUAUACAUGUUAAAUAUGUUAUAGUAUAUCCUAGAUACAAUAUGUGUGUGCAGAACUCUUGUUGCACAAGAAGAAUUUGAUUCAGAAGGUAAAAAUAACCUGGGAAGAAAAACAAAAAUGCAAGUAGUCCACAUUUAUUUCCCAGUGUUCCUUCUCUGGGAAUAGCUGACUCUGUCCAUCAUUGAUCAAUUGGAACUGAAUUAAAUUUUCUCUUUGUUGAAGAUAGCCACUUCCAUCAGAAUAAAUAGUCAUACAGUAUUGUUGUUGAGGUAUAUAAUGAUCUCCUGGUUCUGCUCAUUUCUCUCAGCAUCAUUCAUGUAAGUCUUUCUAAGCCUCUCUGUAUUCAUCCUGGUGAUCAUUUCUUACAGAACAAUAAUAUCCCAUAACAUUUAUACCACAAUUUACCCAACUAUUCUCCAAUUAAUGGGCAUCCACUCAGUUUCUAGUUUCUGGCCACUACAAAGAGGACUGCCACAAACAGUCGUGCACAUACAGGUCCCUUUCCCUUCUUUAUGAUCUCUUUGGGAUAUAAGCCCAGUAGUAACACUGCUGGAUCAAAGGGCAUGCACAGCUUGAUAACUUUUUGGCCAUAAUUCCAGAUUGCUCUCCAGAAUGGUUGGAUCUGUUCACAACCACCAACAAUACAUCAGUGUCCCAGUUUUCCUGCAUCCCCUCCUUCAUUC
ensembl:lncRNA